rnacentral:rRNA from 1 species
GACAGAGGGUGCAAACGUUGUUCGGAAUUACUGGGCGUAAAGCGUGUGUAGGCGGCUAUGCAAGUCGGAUGUGAAAGCCCCGGGCUCAACUCGGGAAGUGCACUCGAUACUGCGUAGCUUGAGUAUCGGAGAGGUUGGUGGAAUUCCUGGUGUAGCGGUGGAAUGCGUAGAUACCAGGAGGAACACCAAUGGCGAAGGCAGGCUACUGGACAGAAGGUGACGCUGAGGCGCGAAAGUGUGGGGGAGCAAACAGG